rnacentral:rRNA from 1 species
AUACGGAAGGUCCGGGCGUUAUCCGGAUUUAUUGGGUUUAAAGGGAGCGCAGGCGGAGAUGCAAGCGUGACGUCAAAUUUCGGGGCUCAACCCCGUCUCGCGUCGCGAACUGCGUCCCUUGGUUGCGGGAAGAGGAGGCGGAACUCGUGGUGUAGCGGUGAAAUGCAUAGAUAUCACGAAGAACUCCGAUCGCGAAGGCAGCCUUCCGGCCCGUCAACGACGCUCAUGCUCGAAGGUGCGGGUAUCAAACAGGAUUAGAUACCCUGGUAGUCCGCACAGUAAACGAUGGACACCCGCGGUUUGGCCUGUAUGGCUGAGCCGCCAAGCGAAAGCGUUAAGUGUCCCACCUGGGGAGUACGCCGGCAACGGUGAAACUCAAAGGAAUUGACGGGG